UAAAGGUUAACCAAUGAUAAACUGCCAGCC
rnacentral:piRNA from 1 species